rnacentral:rRNA from 1 species
UACGGAGGGUGCAAGCGUUGUCCGGAUUCACUGGGUGUAAAGGGUGUGUAGGUGGAAUGGCAAGUCAGGGGUGAAAGCCUGCAGCUUAACUGUAGAAUUGCCUUUGAUACUGCCGUUCUUGAGUACUGGAGAAGUCGCUGGAAUUCGUGGUGUAGCGGUGAUAUGCGUAGAUAUCACGAGGAACACCUGAGUCGUAGGCGGGCGACUAGACAGAUACUGACGCUGAGGCACGAAAGCGUGGGGAGCAAACAGG